GACUCCGUAGCAUAUGGCAUGCAUUUGCUACCCGUGAGUGGGGGAAAUUUCUGGAUGCGGAAGAACCUGGUUCGAUUCCGGGCGGGGUCA